rnacentral:SRP_RNA from 1 species
GCCUAACAGGGUAGUGUAUGUAAUCCCAGCAGCUGGGGAGGCUGAGGUUGGCAGAUCUCUUUAGCUUAGGAGUUCUGAGGGUAGGCUAAACUGCUUGGGUGCCUGCACUAAGUUCUCCAUAAAUAUGGUGAUCCCAGGAAUGGGGGACCACUAGGUUCCUUAAGGAGGAGCAAACCAGCCCUCAUCAGAAAAUGGAGUAGGUCAAAUCUCCUCCUAUGCCUAUCGGAAUAGAAUUGUGCUUAGAGUAGUUCCUGUGUUUCCAACCUGAACUAGACAGAAAAAUCCAGUGUAA